CUACGGGGUGCUGCAGUGGGGAAUAUUGGACAAUGGGCGCAAGCCUGAUCCAGCAAUGCCGCGUGAGUGAAGACGGCCUUAGGGUUGUAAAACUCUUUCGCUAGGGAAGAUAAUGACUGUACCUAGUAAAGAAGUCCCGGCUAACUCCGUGCCAGCAGCCGCGGUAAUACGGAGGGGACUAGCGUUGUUCGGAAUUACUGGGCGUAAAGAGUUCGUAGGCGGACUGACAAGUUAGAGGUGAAAUCCCAGGGCUCAACCCUGGAACUGCCUUUAAAACUGUCAGUCUAGAGACCGGAAGAGAUUAGGGGAAUACCUAGUGUAGAGGUGAAAUUCGUAGAUAUUAGGUGGAACACCAGUGGCGAAGGCGCCUAACUGGUCCGGUACUGACGCUGAGGAACGAAAGCGUGGGGAGCAAACAGGAUUAGAUACCCGCGUAGUC
rnacentral:rRNA from 1 species